CCAGCUGCAAGCAAAGACCCUGAGACA
rnacentral:piRNA from 1 species